rnacentral:rRNA from 1 species
AGUGAACGCUGGCGGUAGGCCUAACACAUGCAAGUCGAACGGCAGCACAGUAAGAGCUUGCUCUUACGGGUGGCGAGUGGCGGACGGGUGAGGAAUACAUCGGAAUCUACUUUUUCGUGGGGGAUAACGUAGGGAAACUUACGCUAAUACCGCAUACGACCUACGGGUGAAAGCAGGGGAUCUUCGGACCUUGCGCGAUUGAAUGAGCCGAUGUCGGAUUGGCUAGUUGGCGGGGUAAAGGCCCACCAAGGCGACGAUCCGUAGCUGGUCUGAGAGGAUGAUCAGCCACACUGGAACUGAGACACGGUCCAGACUCCUACGGGAGGCAGCAGUGGGGAAUAUUGGACAAUGGGCGCAAGCCUGAUCCAGCCAUACCGCGUGGGUGAAGAAGGCCUUCGGGUUGUAAAGCCCUUUUGUUGGGAAAGAAAAGCAGCAGGUUAAUACCCCGCUGUCCUGACGGUACCCAAAGAAUAAGCACCGGCUAACUUCGUG